AUGGGCUUCAGAGAAUUUACAACGGGUCAGGCCCAUGGUUUUGAAACAACAUUUUUAGGGUUAGGGAUUCGGUUGUUCAGUUUGGUAACAUGCUUAGGGUUUGGGACGGCGCCGUUCGUCCGCUUACAUGCUCUUCCUCGUUCAUCCUGCUUCUUGGUCAUGGCUACUGAGUUUAUCUUUACGCAUGUCCCGGUACUUCCUUCCGUUCGAGGCCACCGGUGUCACCCCCAAAGUCUCUCUUCCCUCCAUAGCUCAGUGGACUUGAUUCAAGAAGAAAGGGAGAGAAAAGCUGGCUACCUGACCUUGGAGAAGGAGGAGAGACGGGGAUGUGGCGCUCAGGAGGCCGGAACGAGCGGAGGGAGAUUCGCGCGAUGA